GGUUAAGUGACUAAGCGUACACGGUGGAUGCCUUGGCAGUCAGAGGCGAUGAAGACGUAUUAACUUGCGAUAAGCCCAGAGAACGUAGUAAAAACCGGUGACUCUGGGAUUUCCGAAUGGGGAAACCCACGUGCAUAAGCACGUAUCGUGUUGUGAAUACAUAGC
rnacentral:ncRNA from 1 species